CACGUAGGCGGAUCGAUCAGUUAGGGGUGAAAUCCCAGGACUCAACCCUGGAACUGCCUCUAAUACUGUCGACCUGGAGUUCGAGAGAGGUGAGUGGAAUUCCGAGUGUAGAGGUGAAAUUCGUAGAUAUUCGGAGGAACACCAGUGGCGAAGGCGGCUCACUGGCUCGAUACUGACGCUGAGGUGCGAAAGCGUGGGGAGCAAACA
rnacentral:rRNA from 1 species